AACAAUGACAAGCAGUUUCAUAACCGAAAGUGAAACUCUUAGGAUAGAGAAAGCGAAAGUAUAAGAUUCUCAAAGUGAAAAGGUCUGGACCCUUCUAGAAGAAACUCUGUGCAGCAGGACAUAUAAAAUUGAACUUAACACCUCAUCUCAGAAUAAAGAGAAGCUGUGCAGCAGAUGAAGUUGGAAAUGCAAAAUACACAAGAGCAUAGUCAAUCAAGCACGGAUGAAGUGAAAAAUGUCAAGGUCCCUGAAGAACAGCUGGAAGAUUCCCCUAAUCGAGCUCCUCUCUUAGGAAUGUGGCAGUUGGUCAAAGACAUUGCGAACUGGUUGUGGAGUUUCGUCCGCUCUCCAGUCAAAGUCCAUGUACAGUUUAGUGGCCCCACCCAGAAUGCCCACCAGACAUUUAUUAACAAGCUGCACAUGUCCCUGGAAGAGAGCAGCCUGGAAGACUGCAGUGUGAUCCUGGUCUUCUGGCUGAUCGUCACCCGGAUGGGGACAGAUAUGGAGGCAGCAAUAAGAGAAAUUCCAAGUGACAAACCCGUCAUUCUGGUGCUCAUACACCACAGUUACAACCCAGACCACAUUGAUGACAUUCCGAUCAGAGCACCCAGGAGCAACGUGGUAAAAGUGAUCCAGUGUGUUUUCCAUGAGACAGUUGGACUUCUGGAGUGUGGAUUGAAUCAACGAGCAGUGAGUGGAGUGAGAUCUGAACUGAAACAGUACUGGUCAGUGUACAACAUGUACUACAAAUCGCACAAGUAAAGUAAAAUAGUUCAGUUUCACGUAUCAUAUCAGCUGAACACUUGAAUGUUCUAGUGAAGCAUGUCAUGUUAAAUCAGUCACUCGGUAACUAUAUUAGUGGUUGUGUAGCAGCUAAAGUAGACAUGUGACCUCUGUGCUGUAGGUUAUAAGCCCAGGGUCACUGCAGAUGAACCCUUGAGUAUGGCCUAUACCCUUAAGUUCCUUCAUACAUACAAUAAAUUACGCAUCGUUUCCCUCA
rnacentral:lncRNA from 1 species